rnacentral:rRNA from 1 species
UACGUAGGGUGCGAGCGUUAAUUGGAAUUACUGGGCGUAAAGCGUGCGCAGGCGGUUUUGUAAGCCAGAUGUGAAAUCCCCGGGCUUAACCUGGGAAUGGCAUUUGGGACUGCAAGGCUUGAGUUUGGCAGAGGAGACUGGAAUUCCUGGUGUAGCAGUGAAAUGCGUAGAUAUCAGGAGGAAUACCGAUGGCGAAGGCAGGUCUCUGGGCUAGAACUGACGCUCAUGCACGAAAGCGUGGGGAGCAAACAGG